GGUAACUGAGUGGCCUGCUCCUCCAAUGCCAGAGAUGUUUUAGGCUUGUUGGCCAGCCUAUCGCAGGGUCAUUUGCUCUUCAGUUGGAGUGUUAUUCUGACCUUGUAACUCCUGAGUCUUGUGGGUUGGGGGUGGAGCUUCAGCAAUAUGAAAAGAUAUAUAUUGUGGAACUCAUAGGGAAGAAACAAGUCUGAAGUAUUGUUGACUUCAGAGUAAUCUUCAGCUCAACUGUUAAGGAAAAGGAAUUGGCACAAUAAAACUUAGAGAAUUAACUAAAAGUGGAACGAAAUCAAUCUUUUUUCGAGAAUAUGCAGGAGAGCUGCGUAUCUUUUCAUUAAGAAGAAAAAUGAAUAUAGUUCUUACAACGCAGGCUUUUCCGAACGCACGCACACGGUUGUUUUACAUGGAAGGAAAUCAAUCUAAUUGCACUUAAUGGCUAGAAUCAUAAUUGGUAAAUUUGAUGAUGACCUGCAACAAUCUUUGCCGUGAGGGCAAACAGGAUACGACUCCUGGGCUUCGUCGGUUUCCAACCUAACCACACGGAGACGCUUAGCUGCCUAUCAGUCUUCAGUCCUCGUGCUGAGGAAGUUGCGGCGAGCAUGUGCCCAGGAGCAGCGGCACAAGCAAGGGUGCCAGCAUGACUUGGGAAGGUUCAGAGCGC
rnacentral:lncRNA from 1 species